AGGGGGAUAGUCGUUGGAAACGACGAUUAAUACCGCAUGAGACCACAGAAUCGCAUGAUAUAGGGGUCAAAGAUUUAUCGGUGUAAGAAGGGCUCGCGUCUGAUUAGCUAGUUGGAAGGGUAAAGGCCUACCAAGGCGACGAUCAGUAGCCGGUCUGAGAGGAUGAACGGCCACAUUGGAACUGAGACACGGUCCAAACUCCUACGGGAGGCAGCAGUGGGGAAUAUUGCACAAUGGGGGGAACCCUGAUGCAGCGACGCCGCGUGAGCGAAGAAGGUUUUCGAAUCGUAAAGCUCUGUCCUAUGAGAAGAUAAUGACGGUAUCAUAGGAGGAAGCCCCGGCUAAAUACGUGCCAGCAGCCGCGGUAAUACGUAUAGGGCGAGCGUUGUCCGGAAUUAUUGGGCGUAAAGGGUACGUAGGCGGUUUUUUAAGUCAGGUGUGAAAGCGUGAGGCUUAACCUCAUUAAGCACUUGAAACUGGAAGACUUGAGUGAAGGAGAGGAAAGUGGAAUUCCUAGUGUAGCGGUGAAAUGCGUAGAUAUUAGGAGGAAUAC
rnacentral:rRNA from 1 species